GAGGAAAGAGGGAGGCGUGCCUAAUACAUGCAAGUCGAGCGAACAGACGAGGAGCUUGCUCCUCUGACGUUAGCGGCGGACGGGUGAGUAACACGUGGAUAACCUACCUAUAAGACUGGGAUAACUUCGGGAAACCGGAUCCAAUAUCGGAUAAUAUAGUGAACCGCAUGGUUCAAUAGUGAAAGCCGGUUUUGCUGUCACUUAUAGAUGGAUCCGCGCCGCAUUAGCUAGUUGGUAAGGUAACGGCUUACCAAGGCAACGAUGCGUAGCCGACCUGAGAGGGUGAUCAGCCACACUGGAACUGAGACACGGUCCAGACUCCUACGGGAGGCAGCAGUAGGGAAUCUUCCGCAAUGGGCGAAAGCCUGACGGAGCAACGCCGCGUGAGUGAUGAAGGUCUUCGGAUCGUAAAACUCUGUUAUUAGGGAAGAACAAAUGUGUAAGUAACUAUGCACGUCUUGACGGUACCUACUCAGAAAGCCACGGCUAACUACGUG
rnacentral:rRNA from 1 species